AGCAGCCGUGGUAAUUCCAGCUCCAAUAGCUUAUAUUAAAGUUGUUGCAGUUAAAAAGCUCGUAGUUGAAUUUUAGGGUUCUACCGUUGGUCGGGCUUUGUCUGUACUGGCGCGUGGAAUUUCUACCUUCUGGGGAACUAUCAUGUUAUUAAUUUAACGUGGUGGGAAACCAGGACCUUUACCUUGAAAAAAUUAGAGUGUUCAAAGCAGGCUUAUGUCUGAAUACAUUAGCAUGGAAUAAUAAAAUAGGACAGUGGUUCUGUUUUGUUGGUUUCUGAAUCACUGUAAUGAUUAAUAGGAAUAGUUGGGGGCAUUAGUAUUCAAUUGUCAGAGGUGAAAUUCUUGGAUUUAUUGAAGAC
rnacentral:sRNA from 1 species